rnacentral:rRNA from 1 species
AACCCUUGUCCUUAGUUACCAGCACGUUAUGUGGGCACUCUAAGGAGACUGCCGGUGACAAACCGGAGGAAGGUGGGGAGUGACGUCAAGUCAUCAUGGCCCUUACGGCCUGGGCUACACACGUGCUACAAUGGUCGGUACAAAGGGUUGCCAAGCCGCGAGGUGGAGCUAAUCCCAUAAAACCGAUCGUAGUCCGGAUCGCAGUCUGCAACUCGACUGCGUGAAGUCGGAAUCGCUAGUAAUCGUGAAUCAGAAUGUCACGGUGAAUACGUUCCCGGGCCUU